rnacentral:rRNA from 1 species
AAAUGAAUUGACGGGGACCCGCACAAGCGGUGGAGGAUGGGGUUUAAUUCGAAGCUACGCGAAGAACCUUACCGAGGCUUGACAUCCCAGGAAGUCCGCCGAAAGGUGGAUGUGCCUUCGGGAACCUGGUGACAGGUGCUGCAUGGCCGUCGUCAGCUCGUGUCGUGAGAUGUUGGGUUAAGUCCCGCAACGAGCGCAACCCUUGUCGUCUGUUGUCUUUUCAGACGAGACUGCCCGGGCCAACCGGGAGGAAGGUGGGGAUGACGUCUGGUCAGCAUGGCCCUUACGCCUCGGGCCACACCCGUCCUACAAUGGAUAGUACAAUGGGCAGCCAAGCCGUAAGGCGGAGCAAAUCCCACCAAAACUAUCCUCAGUUCGGAUAGAGGGCUGAAACUCGCCCUCUUGAAGUCGGAAUCGCUAGUAAUGGCGCGUCAGCAUAGCGCCGUGAAUACGUUCCCGGGUCUUGUACACACCGCCCGU